rnacentral:ncRNA from 1 species
ACUCAACCUACACAUGCAAGUCUCCGCACCCCUGUGAAAAAGCCCAUUAAUCCUUAUGGAUUCAAGGAGCAGGUAUCAGGCACAAUGAUCUGCCCAAGACACCUAGCCACGCCACACCCACAAGGGACCCCAGCAGUGACUAAUAUUGAAUAUUAACGACAGCUUGAUUCAGUUAAAGUAAAGAGAGCCGGCAAACCCGGUGCCAGCCGCCGCGGCUACACCAGGGACUCAAAUUGACCACCACCGACGUAAAGCGUGAUUAAAGACAUAUUUUACUAGAGCUAAACCCGGAUUAGACCGUGAAACGCGCCAUCUGCGGGACAAUACACAACGAAAGUCGCUCUACCUACCCCAACUUGAACACACGAAAGCGGAUAAUACAAACUGGGAUUAGAUACCCCACUAUGCCCGACCGUAAACUUUAACUUACAUCCAAAUCGUCAGGGAAUUAUAAGCUAAGCUUAAAACCCAAAGGACUUGACGGUGCCCCAUCUCCCCCUAGAGGAGCCUGUCUCAUAAUUGAUAAUCCCCACUUAACCUCACCACAUCUAGCUUAUUCAGCCUGUAUACUUCCGUCGCAAGCCUACCACAUGAGCGAAGCCUAGUUGGCCCAAUGUUCACACAUAAAUGUGUUUACAUCAACAAUACGUCAGGUCAAAGUGCAGCAGACGAUGUGGGAUAAGAUUGGCUACACUUUUUAAUUUAAAAGAAACGGAAAACAAAAUGAAACUUUGUCAGAAGGUGGAUCUAGCAGUAAAAGAAAGAUAUCAAAUUUCUUUUAACUCGGCACUGGAGCGUGUACACACCGCCCGUCACCCUCUUCGAAAAUCUAAGCCAGUACUUAACUAGUCACUAAAAAUAAAGAAGAGGCAAGUCGUAACAUGGUAAGCGUACCGGAAGGUGCACUUGGACA